UAACCAUGAUGAGGGCAAGCCCGUCUCAAGUCCUUGAACCUUUCCCAAGCUUCACUCAAUGUCUCACCAUUUCGGUUAGAGAAUGUAGCUAUUUGACGUUUUAGCUC
rfam:Beta vulgaris subsp. vulgaris Bvchr3.sca006.con0151.1, whole genome shotgun sequence.